UUGGUCAUUUAGAGGAAGUAAAAGUCGUAACAAGGUCUCCGUUGGUGAACCAGCGGAGGGAUCAUUACCGAGUUUACAACUCCCAAACCCCUGUGAACAUACCAAUUGUUGCCUCGGCGGAUCAGCCCGCUCCCGGUAAAACGGGACGGCCCGCCAGAGGACCCCUAAACUCUGUUUCUAUAUGUAACUUCUGAGUAAAACCAUAAAUAAAUCAAAACUUUCAACAACGGAUCUCUUGGUUCUGGCAUCGAUGAAGAACGCAGCAAAAUGCGAUAAGUAAUGUGAAUUGCAGAAUUCAGUGAAUCAUCGAAUCUUUGAACGCACAUUGCGCCCGCCAGUAUUCUGGCGGGCAUGCCUGUUCGAGCGUCAUUUCAACCCUCAAGCCCAGCUUGGUGUUGGGACUCGCGGUAACCCGCGUUCCCCAAAUUGAUUGGCGGUCACGUCGAGCUUCUAUAGCGUAGUAGUAAAACCCUCGUUACUGGUAAUCGUCGCGGCCACGCCGUUAAACCCCAACUUCUGAAUGUUGACCUCGGAUCAGGUAGGAAUACCCGCUGAACUUAAGCAUAUCAAUAAG
rnacentral:rRNA from 1 species